AUUGAACGCUGGCGGCAGGCCUAACACAUGCAAGUCGAGCGGAGCGGCGGACGGGAGCGUAAUGCCUAGGAAUCUGCCUGGUAGUGGGGGAUAACGUCCGGCAACGGGCGCUAAUACCGCCUACUAUCAAAUGAGCCUAGGUCGGAUUAGCUAGUUGGUGGGGUAAAGGCUCACCUAGUCGACGAGUUCUAGCUGGUCUGAGAGGAUGAGCAGCCAGACUGGGACUGAGACACGGCCAAGACUCCUACGGGAGGCACCAGUGGGGAAUAUUGCACAAUGGGCGCAAGCCUGAUGCAGCCAGGCCGCGUGUAUGAAGAAGGCCUUAGGGUUGUAAAGUACGUUCAGCGGGGAGGCGUUACCCGCAGAAGAAGCACCGGCUAACUCCGUGCCAGCAGCCGCGGUAAUUC
rnacentral:rRNA from 1 species